GUGUCAGCCGCCGCGGUAAUACGGGGGGGGCAAGCGUUGUUCGGAAUUACUGGGCGUAAAGGGUUCGUAGGUGGCCCGCUAAGUCAGACGUGAAAUCCCUCAGCUUAACUGGGGAACUGCGUCUGAGACUGGCAGGCUCGAGUGCAGGAGAGGAACGCGGAAUUCCAGGUGUAGCGGUGAAAUGCGUAGAUAUCUGGAGGAACACCGGUGGCGAAGGCGGCGUUCUGGACUGCUACUGACACUGAGGAACGAAAGCCAGGGGAGCAAACGGGAUUAGAUACCCCUGUAGUCC
rnacentral:rRNA from 1 species